rnacentral:rRNA from 1 species
AUCGAACGCUGGCGGCAGGCCUAACACAUGCAAGUCGAGCGGAUGAAGGGAGCUUGCUCCUGGAUUCAGCGGCGGACGGGUGAGUAAUGCCUAGGAAUCUGCCUAGUAGUGGGGGAUAACGUCCGGAAACGGGCGCUAAUACCGCAUACGUCCUGAGGGAGAAAGUGGGGGAUCUUCGGACCUCACGCUAUCAGAUGAGCCUAGGUCGGAUUAGCUAGUUGGUGGGGUAAAGGCCUACCAAGGCGACGAUCCGUAACUGGUCUGAGAGGAUGAUCAGUCACACUGGAACUGAGACACGGUCCAGACUCCUACGGGAGGCAGCAGUGGGGAAUAUUGGACAAUGGGCGAAAGCCUGAUCCAGCCAUGCCGCGUGUGUGAAGAAGGUCUUCGGAUUGUAAAGCACUUUAAGUUGGGAGGAAGGGCAGUAAGUUAAUACCUUGCUGUUUUGACGUUACCAACAGAAUAAGCACCGGCUAACUUCGUG